rnacentral:rRNA from 1 species
UGAUCGUAAGGACAUGUGGAGCGCUUAGAAGUGAGAAUGCCGGUGUGAGUAGCGAAAGACGGGUGAGAAUCCCGUCCACCGAUUGACUAAGGUUUCCAGAGGAAGGCUCGUCCGCUCUGGGUUAGUCGGGUCCUAAGCUGAGGCCGACAGGCGUAGGCGAUGGAUAACAGGUUGAUAUUCCUGUACCACCUAUAAUCGUUUUAAUCGAUGGGGGGACGCAGUAGGAUAGGCGAAGCGUGCGAUUGGAUUGCACGUCUAAGCAGUAAGGCUGAGUAUUAGGCAAAUCCGGUACUCGUUAAGGCUGAGCUGUGAUGGGGAGAAGACAUUGUGUCUUCGAGUCGUUGAUUUCACACUGCCGAGAAAAGCCUCUAGAUAGAAAAUAGGUGCCCGUACCGCAAACCGACACAGGUAGUCAAGAUGAGAAUUCUAAGGUGAGCGAGCGAACUCUCGUUAAGGAACUCGGCAAAAUGACCCCGUAACUUCGGGAGAAGGGGUGCUCUUUAGGGUUAACGCCCAGAAGAGCCGCAGUGAAUAGGCCCAAGCGACUGUUUAUCAAAAACACAGGUCUCUGCUAAACCGUAAGGUGAUGUAUAGGGGCUGACGCCUGCCCGGUGCUGGAAGGUUAAGAGGAGUGGUUAGCUUCUGCGAAGCUACGAAUCGAAGCCCCAGUAAACGGCGGCCGUAACUAUAACGGUCCUAAGGUAGCGAAAUUCCUUGUCGGGUAAGUUCCGACCCGCACGAAAGGCGUAACGAUUUGGGCACUGUCUCAACGAGAGACUCGGUGAAAUCAUAGUACCUGUGAAGAUGCAGGUUACCCGCGACAGGACGGAAAGACCCCGUGGAGCUUUACUGUAGCCUGAUAUUGAAAUUCGGCACAGCUUGUACAGGAUAGGUAGGAGCCUUUGAAACGUGAGCGCUAGCUUACGUGGAGGCGCUGGUGGGAUACUACCCUAGCUGUGUUGGCUUUCUAACCCGCACCACUUAUCGUGGUGGGAGACAGUGUCAGGCGGGCAGUUUGACUGGGGCGGUCGCCUCCUAAAAGGUAACGGAGGCGCUCAAAGGUUCCCUCAGAAUGGUUGGAAAUCAUUCAUAGAGUGUAAAGGCAUAAGGGAGCUUGACUGCGAGACCUACAAGUCGAGCAGGGUCGAAAGACGGACUUAGUGAUCCGGUGGUUCCGCAUGGAAGGGCCAUCGCUCAACGGAUAAAAGCUACCCCGGGGAUAACAGGCUUAUCUCCCCCAAGAGUUCACAUCGACGGGGAGGUUUGGCACCUCGAUGUCGGCUCAUCGCAUCCUGGGGCUGUAGUCGGUCCCAAGGGUUGGGCUGUUCGCCCAUUAAAGCGGUACGCGAGCUGGGUUCAGAACGUCGUGAGACAGUUCGGUCCCUAUCCGUCGUGGGCGUAGGAAAUUUGAGAGGAGCUGUCCUUAGUACGAGAGGACCGGGAUGGACAUACCUCUGGUGUACCAGUUGUCGUGCCAACGGCAUAGCUGGGUAGCUAUGUGUGGACGGGAUAAGUGCUGAAAGCAUCUAAGCAUGAAGCCCCCCUCAAGAUGAGAUUUCCCAACUUCGGUUAUAAGAUCCCUCAAAGAUGAUGAGGUUAAUAGGUUCGAGGUGGAAGCAUGGUGACAUGUGGAGCUGACGAAUACUAAUCGAUCGAAGACUUAAUCAA